AUCUACAGUUUUUCAUUCUUCAGAGAAUACAAAAAUCAAAAUUAGGUCAGUUCAUCUUCUUUAUUCAAAAUCGAGAUCUUCUUCUCCUAAAUCGAAAAACGAAAUCAAAAAACAAACCAGAUCUGUUUCAUCUUCGUCAAAACCAAAACCAGGCAUCUUCUUCAUGAGAUUCAAUUGAAAGUUUCCAAUCGAAAAACAAAAUCAAAACCAAAAAUGGUUACCAAUCGAAAAAUUAAACAAAUAAUUACGGAAGUAAUUGUGGAAGAAAGUGCUUCACGCUCAAAAAGUAGAAGAAAAAUUGUUGAUGAUUCAAACAACAAAAAGAAAAGCCUGCUUCUAAUUCACCAACAAUACAUAAUAUAUCCAACAACAGUUUAUGUUUCUUUUUUAUGUAUCACAUGCUUUUAUGCUUUCAUGUAUUACAUAAGCUUUGGUGCAGGGUUCCUUGGUUCUUCAUGAUACGCCUGCAUGGUUGGGAUCAGUUGGGAAGGCUUGGCAGAUGGAUCUAGAGGGGCCAUCAAGCACCGUAGAUGGAGGGGAAUCUGCGGUAUUCUGGGUAGUAUUGGCUAGGUGAGGCUGUUGAUGAGGAGAUUAAGAAACUGAAAUUAAAAGAUAAUGGGGCAAAUCAAGUAGUAGGUUCUGCUACUGGGGUGCUACUCCAUUGCUGACCCUGAAGCAAAAUCUGAAAUCUCCCACUCUAACUUAAAAUGACAUGGGUGCUGAGAAUAACUAGUUGAGAAGAGCUCUAUUACGAUCUGAAUGGAUGCAUUCAUGGACAGUUGAAAUCCUUUUUAUAUUCAGUGUUUUUCUUUCUUCUAUAUUAGUUUCUUGGAACUGAGAUUUGCUGGUUGGUCUCAAUUUGUUAUUUACUGUUUCCUUGUAUAUAUAUCUGGAGACUGG